GAUGAACGCUAGCGGCAGGCGUUAACACAUGCAAGUCAGGGGGUAACAUAGAAAAGCUUGCUUUUCUGAUGACGACCGGCGCACGGGUGCGUAACGCGUAUACAACCUACCUUUUAGCGGGGAAUAGCCCAGGGAAACUUGGAUUAAUGCCCCAUAGUAUAUAGACUUCUCCUGAAGUUUAUAUUAAACAUUUAUGGCUAUUAGAUGGGUAUGCGUCCUAUUAGUUAGUUGGUAAGGUAACGGCUUACCAAGGCAGCGAUAGGUAGGGGUCCUGAGAGGGAGAUCCCCACACUGGUACUGAGACACGGACCAGACUCCUACGGGAGGCAGCAGUGAGGAAUAUUGGACAAUGGGCGAGAGCCUGAUCCAGCCAUGCCGCGUGCAGGAAGACUCGCCCUAGUGGGUUGUAAACUGUCUUUUACAGAGGAAGAACCCACCCCCACGUGUGGGGGUUUGACGGUACUCUGCGAAUAAGGAUCGGCUAACUCCGUG
rnacentral:rRNA from 1 species